UGCCCAGCCACAGAUUUCUAGAUUUGUACACGGUUGAAACUUCUCAUUCCCAUGACAUUUGGAGCUUUGAUUCAUCACAAAGGUGACCUGGAGACAGAAAACUGUUCCUGUGGACUACAAAGAGGGUGAAGGACUUGGUCUUGGGAAGAGAAGGGCUGGGAAAGAUUUAACAACAAAAAUCACAGAAAUCACAAAACCUGGGUCAAAUGUUCUUGGUCAUGGCCAGGAGGUAAAAGAAGAGCCAGCAGCCCAAACCUGCAGAUUCAGUUUAGUAAAAAAAAAUGAAAAUUUCUACCGAAGGAAAGCAGGGCUGGGCUGGGCAGGUUUGAGGAGAUGAAUCCCAAAAGUCCUUCAAACAUUUCUCACACCACAUCAACUCACUGGUUCUUGGCAAGCACAUGGCAGGGGUUCAGAAAUAAUAACUAUUAACAUUUGUUAUUUUGGGCUUGUCAUUUGUAUUUACAGCCACGCUCUCAGCAGUUCUAAAUGCCAAGGCUCCGGUUUCAGUGAUAUUUUUCAAAAAGGAAAAGGCUUUUUUUGCCAAUUUAUCAUUUCUAAUCUGUUCAAAGCUUAAGCCAGAACUCUUCAGUGAGACUUCUUCAUAAAUAACUGUACAAAAUUAAAAUAAAUUAACAUCUAUUAUUUAGCUUCAUUCUUAAAAUAGUUAGCAUAUGCCCACAGGCUUUGGCAUAUAUUGAAAAAAUAAACCAAAAUUUUAGACUUUGGGGGGAUCUUCACCCCUUUCUGAGACUCAGAAGAUGUGGUAGAACUAGGAUUCCCAAAACUACCAGUAAUGGUUCAGAAUUUAAUAGAUGUCAAGUAUUAUUAAUUAAUUAUUAAUUAAUGACUUUCCCAACUACAGCAGCCAUAAUCAGGUUUACAGAACCCUAAAUCAGCUCUCAAGAUCAUCUCCUGCCACUUCAGCCAGAGAGGAAGGGCUGGGUGGGCAAGGAAAGGGAAAGAUUGGGAAAACUUUAUCUUUGCUCAGUUUGAUUAAUUAGAUUGCUGAUGGAUUUCACCAAAGGAACACAAGGCUGGCAGAACCUGCUCUAUAACAGCAAGUGAGGACAUUCCAAGAAAAGCAGCAAGUUUUGACAAAUCCUUGAGAUGUCACUGAUUUGUGAAUGUGUGCACGAGAGGAAAACGACAUGUAACUGAGAAAACAGAAGGAAAUUCAGAAAUUAAAAGAAACCAAAGGGAAAAAAAAAAAAAAGCCCAUCAGACUGCUUCGUGGUGUGGUGCCUUUUUUUGUGUUGUUUUGUUACUUUUUGUGGCCUUAUUAUAGCAAAGCUAUCAUCUGAGGAUCUGCAGGGACUGCAGUGAUUGACAGAUGUCUGUCAAGUGUGCGUGCUCUGAAAAUCUGAAAACACGAAGCACAAGCAACUUUAGCUUUGCUUUUCAUGACAUAUGCUCAAAUUGGAAACCAAACAAGUUUAAGGAAAGAAUAAACUACUUGCUAUCAAUUGUC